UUUAUCCCGAACCUGAGAGGAAGGACUUACAGACAUAGAGGCAUAGAGUGUCCUUCCUCCUGUUUCUUCUAUUCUUCUAACCCCUUGAAUGAAAUCUAAAUUUAGAGCUUCCAAAUAUAAACAUUUUCAGAAGAUUCAACAAUGAUUCUAAAUGUCCAUAAUUAUGUCUUUAGACCUUUUUAGUCUUCUCUUUUACAACAAAAGGAACAAUUCUUCGUCCAUUAUCAUUUCUUGUUUUGUCUGCAGGGUAACGGGGGUUGCUGGUGACCAUCCCGGCUACCUUUGGAUGAAAGCGGGGGGCAGUUUGGAGGCACCCAUCAACCCAAAAAGCCGGUUUUUGGACUGUGGGAGGAAGUGAGAGUGCGCGGAAAAAAAACACACAGGCAGGGAGAACAUGUGAACUCUGCACAGAAAAGACGCAGCUGGGAUUCAAACCAGGGCCUCAACACCACACUUCCAUACAGCCAGAAGGGGGAACGGUGAUGUCUGGAAGGGAAAAAGUCAAAUAUGGCAAGCCUUGACAUGAAAUAUGAAACCCCUGUGUCUGCCUAAUAUGCCAAAAAGACGGUGUUCUCCAGGAGUUCAGCAUCAAGAGGCACCACCAGGUGAGACAUGCUAACUACAACAAAAUAACUAGGAAACAUUGCACAUGUACAAAUUGACAAUAGUUUGGGUAAAAAUGUAUGUAUAUGUGUUUGUCUUCUUUGUGAAGAAAUGAAAAGUAUGCCACUGCAAUAAAAUGUCCCUUGGUUAAUUUGCAUUUAAUGUUAUUAAACUAGUUUAAAGAAGCUCAGGCUGAAGGAUUGGCCCUCAGUUUUUUUCAUGUCUGGGACAAAAUACACACAUUUAUUUAUUAAAAAUCAAACAGUGGGAUUGCUGUGAUACAAGUUACUAAAAAGCAAUGACUGAAAUUUUCAUAACUAAUUAGUACUUUUUGCAGUAACUGCACAUUGUAACACAUUACUGUGAAACUUUAAUGCAUUACUCCGUACACUGAUCAUGAACUUUAAUACUUUUAAAACAAUGGCUUUGUAUGAUUUCUUUGAUCAUUUUUAUCAGUAUGUCCCUUACUCUUAGUUCAAGAUUUUAUUAAGUAUUGUAAUUUUCCUGUGUGACAGAGCAACAUGUUUCUGAGUCACCAGCUAACUAAUCUUUGUCCACAAGAGGGCAGCCUGAUUCAACAAACCAGGAAGAAGGAGCUCUGCAUUACCUAGGUGCAUUCCUCUACCAUUUUCCUGUUUA